rnacentral:rRNA from 1 species
AGAGUUUGAUCCUGGCUCAGGACGAACGCUGGCGGUGUGCUUCACACAUGCAAGUCGAGCGAAUGAAGUAGGUAGCUUGCUACUUAUGGAUUUAGCGGCGGACGGGUGAGUAAUAUAUAGGAAUCUGCCUUAGAGCGGGGAACAACAGACCGAAAGGUUUGCUAAUGCCCCAUAGGUAUGCAGUCUUCGGAUUGUAUAUUAAAGGAGUAAUCCACUCUAAGAUGAGCCUGUAUCCGAUUAGCUAGUUGGCGGGGUAAAGGCCCACCAAGGCUACGAUCGGUAGUUGGUCUGAGAGGAUGAUCAGCCACAAUGGGACUGAGACACGGCCCAUACUCCUACGGGAGGCAGCAGUGGGGAAUUUUACACAAUGGGGGAAACCCUGAUGUAGCGACACCGCGUGAACGAAGAAGCCUUUUGGGGUGUAAAGUUCUGUCGGCUGGAACGAAACAAAUGACGGUACCAGCAAAGGAAGCAUCGGCUAACUACGUGCCAGCAGCCGCGGUAAGACGUAGGAUGCAAGCGUUGUCCGGAUUUAUUGGGCGUAAAGAGUUCGUAGGCGGUUAUUUAAGUCUGAUGUUAAAUACUGUGGCCCAACCACAGAACUGCAUUGGAUACUGGAUGACUUGAGUGCGGUAGAGGCAAGUGGAAUUCCCAGUGUAGCGGUGAAAUGCGUAGA